UCGGCCUCAGAUUGGUAGGACUACCCGCUGAACUUAAGCAUAUCAAUAAGCGGAGGAAAAGAAACUAACAAGGAUUCCCCUAGUAACGGCGAGUGAAGAGGGAAGAGCCCAAGAUUGAAAGCUGGCGUCUUUGGCGUCCGCAUUGUAAUCUCAAGAAGUGUUUUCCGCUUCGGACCAUGCCUAAGUCCCUUGGAAAAGGGCAUCAUAGAGGGUGAUAAUCCCGUACAUGGCAUGGAGCGCCCGAAGCUUUGUGAUACACUUUCUAAGAGUCGAGUUGUUUGGGAAUGCAGCUCAAAAUGGGUGGUAAAUGCCAUCUAAGGCUAAAUAUUGGGGAGAGACCGAUAGCGAACAAGUACAGUGAUGGAAAGAUGAAAAGAACUUUGAAAAGAGAGUUAAACAGUACGUGAAAUUGCCAAAAGGGAAGGGUAGGAGGUCAGAGAUGCGGUCUGGGAUUCAGCCUUGCUUUUGCUGGGUGUUUUUCUCAGAUUGCAGGCCAACGUCGGUUUUGGGCGCUGGAGAAGGGUGGAAGGAAUGUGGCACCUCUCGGGGUGUGUUAUAGCCUUCUACUGGAUACAGUGACCGAGACCGAGGACAGCAGCGUACUCGCAAGAGCGGGCCUUCGGGCACCUU
rnacentral:rRNA from 1 species